CCCUUAGAUGAUUUGGGCUGCACGCGCGCUACACUGACCCUAACAAUGAGCAACUGUCUGGCCUGAGAUGGCUGGGUAGCCUUUUCAACCCAUGUCAUGAUUGGGCUAGAUUUUUGUAAGUCUUGAUCUCUAACGAGGAAUCCCUAGUAUGCGUGAAUCAUCAAUCCAUGCAGAUUAUGUCCCUGCCCUUUGUACACACCGCCCGUCGCUACUACUGAUUGGGUGUUCAAGUGAGAUGCUUAGACCCUUGUUGCAUGGUUCAUUAUUGUGCUCCGAAAGGAAAAAGUUUCAAGCUUGAGUGUCUAGAGGAAGUAAAAGUCGUAACA
rnacentral:rRNA from 1 species